rnacentral:rRNA from 1 species
AUAGCGUAUAUUAAAGUUGUUGCAGUUAAAAAGCUCGUAGUUGGACUUCUGGGAGGGUGCCAAUGUCCGCUUGUUAGCGUGUGCAGCGGCGCCCUUCCAUCCUUCUGUUAACGAUUCUUGGUAUUCACUUACUGGUUUCGGGCUCAGAUAUUUUACCUUGAGAAAAUUAGAGUGUUUCAGGCAGGCUUGCGCCGGAAUACAUUAGCAUGGAAUAAUAGAAUAGGACUUCUGUCUCACAUUUGUUGGUUUGAGGGGCUGAAGUAAUGAUUAAUAGGGAUAGUUGGGGGCAUUAGUAUUUAAUUGUCAGAGGUGAAAUUCUCGGAUUUGUUAAAGACUAACUUAUG